rnacentral:rRNA from 1 species
GACGACGCUGGCGGCGUGCUUAACACAUGCAAGUCGAACGAGUGGCGGACGGGUGAGUAAUGUCUGGGAAACUGCCCGAUGGAGGGGGAUAACUACUGGAAACGGUAGCUAAUACCGCAUACCAUCAGAUGUGCCCAGAUGGGAUUAGCUGGUCGGUGGGGUAACGGCUCCCCUAGGCGACGAUCCCUAGCUGGUCUGAGAGGAUGACCAGCCACACUGGAACUGAGACACGGUCCAGACUCCUACGGGAGGCAGCAGGGGGGAAUAUUGCAAAAUUGGCGCAAGCCUGAUGCAGCCAUGCCGCGUGUAUGAAGAAGGCCUUCGGGUUGUAAAGUACUUUCAGCGGGGAGGCGUUACCCGCAGAAGAAGCACCGGCUAACUCCGUGCCAGCAGCCGCGGUAAUAC